CGGCUUCCCAGGGGGCCGGCUGACUCUGAUCACGGAAGUCUCCACGCCAGGAGAGGAGCUAAGCGGCAGGGAGAGGGAGGCCAGCGAAGCGAGAGUCACGGGGGACCUCUGGGGGCAGGGUGCCCGGAGGAAGGAAGCUGACAGGGUGGAGGUGACACGUGAGAACACGACCUCAGCUGAGCAGAAAAAACACCAUCGCACCCAGGGUUCUUCCAGUGUCCUUACAGACAAGAGAACCGAGGCAGACAGGGCACAGCACACAGCUGUGGGGCUCAGCCCAGGCCACAGUGCAGCCACAUCUGGGCUGACUCCGCGUCUUAAGCGCUUCUAAUGAGCCUUGAACUCUCAGCUCCAGGACACACACUGUGCCCAUCCUGGUGGCUCGUCUCCCAGCGGACGGCCCCUCCCUUGGCUGACAGCACGCAUCCUCCAUCCUCCAGUCAGGGACAAACAGCUCUGACCACUGGCCCCUGUCUCCUCACCAAAGUUUCUGUUCCGAGAGGUCAGGCCUCAAGUGGAGCCAGGAGCGAGAUUUAGCGUCAGAGGACAAAGGCAGCCUAGCAGAGCACCCGCCACCGGUUCCCCUCUGCACCCUUUCUCCAGCCCCCUGCGCGGACAGAUCUUCCUGGGCCGCAGCCUCAGCGGGUCACACGCAGCCCUCCAGCGGCCUGUGCCUUGACCCUCUCUCUUGUAUCCAAAGGGUAAAGCCCGACCUCCAAGGCCAGAGGCUCUUGAUCACUUAUCACCAGUCUGCCUGAGUAGCACAAAAGUCACAUUUGUAUUUCCUGGCAUUUCCGGGGCUUGCUGCCAUCCCUGCAAAGGCCAGAACAAACACAAGCAUAGCUCAAACCCAGCCUGUGACAGUGGCUCCGGCCGGGCCACACUGGGCUCACUCUGAGCCCACAAAUAACCUGGAGGGAGUGGCUUUCCGCUGGGGAGUGGUGAGUGAGUCUGGGACGGCAGCUGGUGCUGGGGGAGGGGGUGUGCAGGCCUGCGCCACCCAGUGAGACCACAGGGCGCUGUUCUUCCGCCACAGGAACGGUCAUGCCACCAACACUCAGUCCUAAACCCGGUGCUCUGACAGAGGUCUGGAACUGGUGCCGGAGAGGGUGAGCUGGGGAGGCUUUCAGCAGAGCUACACCAAGUGCAGCACCAUCUGUGUGGACUUAUUUCGUACUCAGCCGGGGGAAGCGAUGGCAAGACCCCAAAAUGGGGGAAAAUUCUAGUCACUCCUCCAUUUUCACUUCUGGAGAUUUGCUAGUUUCUGCUGGAAACCUCACAUUAUUUUAUUUUUAAAAAUUAAAGGGAAAAUUAUACACGAGAUCUGCGUCAUACUAAGGAUGACCUUCUCUGCAAAGAAAUACGACAGACUCAUAGCUCCAGGCACCUAAUUUAAUUUCCUCUGGGGUUAGACCUGGGAGCCUCGGACUGAACAAACAGGCCCUGUUCUUUGUGUAUGUCAGAGCUGGAGCUGAGAACGUGAACAGAUCUGAUCAACAGGACACCGGAGACGAACAGCGACGACGGCGCAGCUCCGACGCAGCUGUGGGAAAACCCGCAGAGGGCCAGGUCCGGGCUCCUCAGGCUCACCGGGUCCCUGUGGAGUGGCCUGGCCCAGCCACAAACAAAGCUGGGAGUGACUAUGACAGUGGAGCUGUCAUUCCACAGACUCCAGCGGAGGUCCUGCACGGGAUGGGACUCUCAUCCUCAGUUUGCAGGGCAGUGGGUGCCAAGAGGGAGGGGAGACGGUAUGCAGGACUCCAGAAUAAGACGUGACAGGUGGCGGCAGACACCUCUGCAAGCCUGCAUGCACGGGGCUGGCUUUUCUCUCUCUCCUGAUGAGACAGAUCCUUGGUACGAUACUAGAACUGGCUUCACCCAAUGGCCUGGAAAACCAGCAACCCCAACCGCAGCCAGCCACACGUCUCCAGGCCACAUGCUCAGUUCAGCCGGACAGGAGCCCCACGUGUCACAGACACACAGCCUCAAGAAGCCAGGCUGGCCAACUGCAAGGGAAGGCAAGCCAUGCCCCAAGAUGGCUUAAGUGCGGCCAGUAAGGAAAAUUUCUAGGUCAGCCUGAUGACUGCGUACACUUCAACCACUGCUCGAUUAAAACACAGAACGAACAACAAAGACAGUUCCUCUAGACUAGAAACAAGCAACAAAGAUGAUGAUAAUAAUGACAAUGAUAACUGCACUCUUGAAGAGCAGGGUAUAAAACGCUUAAGUUUGUGCACAAAGAACCCUGGGAGCAAGGAGACCCUCUAGUGAGAGACGCCCUAAGCACAGCUGAGCAGUGCACUCCCGAAGCUGUUGGAAACACGGAGGCGUGAGGAGACGGAAGCCCCUGAGUCAGAGUACCAGGGCAAGGCCCAGGCACCUGCAUAUUAAAACACGCACCCUAGGCUCUCAUGGUGGAUGAGCACUGCAAAAUGGGCUCAGGGGGAAGGGGAGUUCGGGGACAGGCUUCACCAACAGUUGGUGGCUGCAGCUCCACCACCAUCUGACUAGCCGAGCCAGGAGGGGAGACAGGGGCUGCCCCUGCUCACUCCUACCUCUGACCAAGGAGGGGCCUGGAAUCCAGGUUAGCAAAUUAUUCCAACAGCCUCGCACCAGGUGCCUUAGGACAGCGUGGCUGGUUGGUGGUCAGGGAGGAUUGUCAACAACUUUUCAAUUCUCCAGGCCCCAACAAGUUCCAGAAAGGAACCUGAAAAGGGAUCUUUUGUCUGCGCCUGCCCUGGGCAGGCCGGCUGUGCUGCAGGCAGGGGCCUAGCUGCUGCAGAGCUGACGCCAAUUCAAAUGUCUGUGGUCAAUGAUAUUUCUGAGUGGCUGACAAUGCCCACUCCUUCCCCUUGGUAUGACAAUCCGCACUCUGUCCAGGUCCUUGCGUGCUCUGUGUUGACAUGCUGUUCCUGCUUCCCAGCAAGUUGAGCUUUCUCUUCCCUCCCUUUCCUCCUCGCAGGGAAGGAAAUGCGCUGUUGACAGCGGCCGGGCCUGCCAAGGUGCCACUGCAGCACCCAGAAUGGCAGCAGAGGAGGCAGGCACAAGCAAGCAGCUCCGUCUGUGACCCUUCUCCUCACCCAGGCCAGACAAAAGCCAGGACAUAGCCUGCAGGCACCCCCAACCGCACCGGGAGGGGGCAGAGCCAUGUGCUUGUGGGCAGCGGGGCCCAGUGGGGCCUCCAACAGGCCGAACUUAUUUCCUGUUCCCAGUGGGUGGCCAGAAGCAGGCUCAGACUCCUGCUCUGCUUGCUGCUGGGGACACAGUGGUGAGUUACAGCCCUCCCUUCCCCAGGCACGCUGCUGGACUUUAAAUCUUCUAGGCAGAGCCCUGCACAGUGAAGAACCUGGACAGCCCAAGCAGAGGUCUCCAGGGACAGCAGGCGAUGUGACCCCUCUGUGACCUCUGGGCCUGGUGGGCUGGGCUCUGCUCACAAGACUGACACCCAGCCACGACAGGCGUCCGCAGUUUGGGGACACGGGUAAGCGGGGCAGAAGAGGGCCUUGGCAGGCUCCAAAGACCCUUUUGCGGUGCUCAGGUUGGCUGACAGACCUUCCAGUCCCAGCAAGGGUGAGCAGCAGGGGUGGGGCAGACGGGAAAGCGGGCAGGGGUAGGGCUGCCCUUGCUCUCGCCUCUGCGGCUCCUCGCAGAGGCACAGCUGUCUGCCCGGCACGCGGGCUCCUGUGCGUCUGCACGCCCGCAGCCCGCCUCUCCCGGCCCGGGUCUCUCAGGACGGAGGAACGGAGGGGACGAGUGCUGGCACAGGAGACGGUGGGUGAAGGGGUCGCUCGGGGCCAUUCCUUGAGCUCUGGACAAGGGCUCAGGGUCCCUAGCCCGCCUUUCCGUCUCAGCCUCUCUGCUGUCGCUCUGCCCCCGAGCAUGCAGGGUGUCUGUGCCUUGCUUUCCACCAGGAGAUAACAGGUCUGGGCUGGGCGCCAGCGCCAGGUGCCAAGGCUGUGAGUGAGGCCUCCCGGGCUGAUGCAAGAAAGUCCUCUCUGCCUCUCCCACUUCAGCUGGGACUCCCUGGGCGAGUUCAAGCCGCAGCCAAGAGAACACACGUCUCGGCUUCCCUGCACCCUGGGUCUGCUGCGUUCUGCUCCUUCCUGCUCCUCUGCCCCGAACAGGCUUGAGCACACAGCCCUAGGUAACACCCGCCCUGCAGCACGGGUCAAAGAUGCCUUUGUGCUGGGCUCACACCGAGGGGUCUGGGCCCUUCCUGGUGUGGCCGAGCGGGCCCCACCUGUGACUGUAAGUCUGACCCUAGCCUCCAAGAAUCCUGCAGACUCCCAGGGUGACAGCCACACCCCAGAAGAGACCUAGAGGCCCUCAAGUCCUUACAAGCCCAGCUUCCCACAAGCUAGGGAGCUGCCUGUGACCACAGAGGCAGACCCUAAAGGGGAGGAGAGCCGGCCUGCAGAUGUGGAAACUGCUGACUGCCUGUGGGGGGGUAGGGGGGAGGGGAGGGGGCUGGUGUGGGUGUUGGCUCCAGGGCUGAGACCCUGGUGCCUGGGGGUAGGGGAGGUUUCCAGAGUUCCUUGCAAAGGGCCUGAGAAACCCCUCGGUGAUGGAGGGAGCAUGCCUGGGAUGUGGGGCCUCGGCCAGCCUUCCCGAGCUCUCCUGCGAGCAGGCCCGUGGUGGACCACACUAAUGAGCCCGUAACAUAGGCCUCUGAUUAAGCAGCUCCCAGCACAGCAACUUUAUUGAAACACGCUGAGGGCAGUGGCUGUUCCCACUGCUUCCUGGUUCCCUGGGCAACAGCCCGCGGCACCAAGUGCCCUAGCUCAAUGAGGCGCUGCCGGGGAGCGAGGUGUUGGGAAUACCAGGAGCCAGAGGGCCAGGAGAUUGGGAUUUUCUAUGGGGUUCAGAAGCUCCCUUCCAGAGGAGUGAGGGGCCACAUGACACUGGCUGAGUCCUCCAGGGCCUACAGUUCUGGGGCGCCUGAAAACCCAUGACGCCGAUCACCCCACCGCUCAGGCCAGGGAAACAUUCCCGGGGUUUGGCAGGGCUCUAAGGGCAAGUUCAGAGUUGAAGAUACGACAUAAAACUGGAUGGACUUCACCCCCAAAGCAUGGGAACCUUCAGUACACGCACGGGCGGGGGCACUUGUGCUCAGAGCGUGUGCAUGCCGUCAUUUCCUCGAAUGGCAGCCUGCGGACUCAGGAGUCGGGGCCUCUUGCGGUCUUCCCCAGCAGCUCCGCCAGGGAAGAGCCAGCCCCACCCCCAUGUUCUUGGCAGAGGUGGCAGGCCGGGGCAUAGCCGGGCUUAGGAGGAAGGGGACUUCCACUUGUGCUGUGCUAAUUGCAGUGUUACAUUUUAGAGCUUUUGCUACAGUAACAACCAAUACCACGUGGACAGAAAUCUAAUGUUACCAAGUGGGACUUUUAAAAUGUAUUUAUAACUUUAUAGUUCAAAGUAAUUUUGUUAUGAAACAAUGUAAUAACAACAGUGGAAAAAGGCAAGAUAAUUUAUGGAACACAAUA